GCUCCGGUGGUGUAGUCCGGCCAAUCAUGCUGGCCUUUCGAGCCAGCGACUCGGGUUCAAAUCCCGGCCGGAGCA
rnacentral:tRNA from 1 species